CACAGAGUGUGGGUAGAGCAAACAUGUUCUCCACUUGUUUAUUUAUUUAUUUAUUUAUUUACCUCAAACUGUGGGGUAGUCCUGUAAUACCACGACCCAGGUUCCCGCAACCACGAAAUUCUGGUUGCAGAAUCGAAGAGAAUGCUAUAGCUAACGAACCUCGCCGACGAAGUUGAUCCAUCCUGCAUUCUUUGAUUUCCCCGCUGCAGACUUCUCUAGGGCUCCCAGUCCUCCCAGCCCAUAAAUAGCAGCAUCACCAUCCAUCCCUGCUCCCCUGUUGCUCCAAACUAUUUUAGUAGUUAACUAGUCCCCAGGAGACUCUGGUGAACAGGGUUUUUGUAUGGUACGGUGCAGCCCAUCGAAAAAAAAAAUGUAGCCUUGUUCAGAGUACGCGGAAGUACACUUUUAUUUGUUUCAUUUUUGAUAUAUAUAGCUAUAUAUAGAAAUAACGAUUUGCAUUUGUCAUUCAUCUCCUCCCUUCUCAACUAUCUCUUUCAAUUUCAUAAUGUUAGCAAGAGAAGAGCGUGCGGGGAGGGGGAAAUCUUAUGCAGCGUGAUGGCAUAGGUUUUUCUUUUUGUUUUUUCCUUUUUUUCUUUCUUGUAUAUGCGGAACAACCCAGCCUCCUCGAUCGUUGAUUUGCUCCUAUUUUUUGGUUUUUCUAUUUCUCGAUUUUUGCUAGUGGGCGGGCUAAACGACGGAACUAACGACGUCUGUGGCUUGAUGCCAUCCGGGGGCUGAGCAGGCAGGAAUGGAUAGUUUUCUGUUUUGAGCCUCCUUUCCUUCUUUUUGGUUUGGUUUGGCUUGCGCACGGGGAGCUUUUCAUUUCACUUUGCUCGAUGCACGGACUGGAACGUGACAAACAUUCGCCACAGUCCUCACUCCUCCUUCC
rnacentral:sRNA from 2 species